UACGUAGGGUGCAAGCGUUGUCCGGAAUUAUUGGGCGUAAAGAGCUCGUAGGCGGUUUGUCGCGUCUGCUGUGAAAACUCGGGGCUUAACCCCGGGCCUGCAGUGGGUACGGGCAGACUAGAGUGCGGUAGGGGGAGACUGGAAUUCCUGGUGUAGCGGUGGAAUGCGCAGAUAUCAGGAGGAACACCGAUGGCGAAGGCAGAUCUCUGGGCCGUAACUGACGCUGAGGAGCGAAAGUGUGGGGAGCGAACAGG
rnacentral:rRNA from 1 species